rnacentral:rRNA from 1 species
UACGGGGGAUGCAAGCGUUAUCCGGAAUGAUUGGGCGUAAAGCGUCCGCAGGUGGCUGUGUAAGUCUGCUGUCAAAGAGCGAAGCUCAACUUCGUAAAGGCAGUGGAAACUACACGGCUAGAGUGCGUUCGGGGCAGAGGGAAUUCCUGGUGUAGCGGUGAAAUGCGUAGAGAUCAGGAAGAACACCGGUGGCGAAGGCGGCUAUCUGGACCGACAUUGACGCUGAGGCGCGAAAGCGUGGGGAGCAAACAGG